GACGUAGGGCGCAAGCGUUGUCCGGAUUUAUUGGGCGUAAAGAGCUCGUAGGCGGUUUGUCGCGUCUGGUGUGAAAAUCCAGGGCUUAACCCUGGACCUGCAUCGGGUACGGGCAGACUAGAGUGCGGUAGGGGAGAUCGGAAUUCCUGGUGUAGCGGUGAAAUGCGCAGAUAUCAGGAGGAACACCUGCGGCGAAGGCGGGUAGCUGGGCCGACACUGACGCUGAGGCGCGAAAGCCAGGGGAGCGAACGGG
rnacentral:rRNA from 1 species